UGCCGGGAUAGCCAAGUGGUAAGGCGGCCGUCUCGAAAACGGCUACGCGCAAGCGUGCAGGGGUUCGAAUCCCUUUCCCGGCGUUAG
rnacentral:tRNA from 1 species